GACGAACGCUGGCGGCGCGCCUAACACAUGCAAGUCGAACGAGAGAUGAAGAGCUUGCUCUUCAAAUCGAGUGGCGAACGGGUGAGUAACGCGUGAGGAACCUGCCUCAAAGAGGGGGACAACAGUUGGAAACGACUGCUAAUACCGCAUAAGCCCACGGCUCGGCAUCGAGCAGAGGGAAAAGGAGCGAUCCGCUUUGAGAUGGCCUCGCGUCCGAUUAGCUAGUUGGUGAGGUAACGGCCCACCAAGGCGACGAUCGGUAGCCGGACUGAGAGGUUGAACGGCCACAUUGGGACUGAGACACGGCCCAGACUCCUACGGGAGGCAGCAGUGGGGAAUAUUGCACAAUGGGGGAAACCCUGAUGCAGCGACGCCGCGUGGAGGAAGAAGGUCUUCGGAUUGUAAACUCCUGUUGUUGAGGAAGAUAAUGACGGUACGUCAACAAGGAAGUGACGGCUAACUACGUGCCAGCAGCCG
rnacentral:rRNA from 1 species